AUUGCUUCUCGGCUCUUUAAGCUAAGAAAUGUGUAAUAUCUGUUCUUAUCAGCUUAAUAUCUGGUAUAAUCACCAUAAGAAUUCCAGAACAUUAAACUGAUUUUUUGAAAGAGAUGGGAGUAUGGAGCUUGCUUCGUCCCCAUUACAGGUCGACGCGAUCUUCGUACG
rnacentral:snRNA from 1 species